AUACGGAGGAUCCGAGCGUUAUCCGGAUUUAUUGGGUUUAAAGGGUGCGCAGGCGGCCAUUUAAGUCAGCGGUUAAAUCGUGGGGCUCAACCCCAUUCUGCCGUUGAUACUGGGUGGCUUGAUUGCGGUCGAGGUUGGCGGAAUUCGUUGUGUAGCGGUGAAAUGCAUAGAUAUGACGAAGAACACCGAUUGCGUAGGCAGCUGACCAGACCGCAAAUGACGCUCAUGCACGAAAGUGCGGGGAUCGAACAGGAUUAGAUACCCUGGUAGUCCGCACAGUAAACGAUGAAUGCUUGUUUUCGGCGAUAUAAUGUCGGAGGCAAAGCGAAAGCGAUAAGUAUUCCACCUGGGGAGUACGCCGGCAACGGUGAAACUUAAAGGAAUUGACGGGG
rnacentral:rRNA from 1 species